GCAGAGACAGCAAGAGUUUCCAAUCUCCCAAGGCAUUUAAGCUGUUACUCUUCUGCACUGCUCCUUCCUCUGAACGAUACAUGCAGGAGAUGCAGCCUGAAAAGUCAAAGAAAUUCUCUGCUUCAAAAAUGACUCACACACGCAACCUGGCACCUAGUUUCAAACAAAUGGACACGCUGAGUUCAAUUGAGGCAGAGUACAUAAAGAAUCUACAGAAAGAAGUCUAUCUACUGGAACUUGAGACAUCAUUUCUAUAUCCUUUAACAAAAC